rnacentral:rRNA from 1 species
UACGUAGGUGGCAAGCGUUUGUCCGGAUUUAUUGGGUUUAAAGGGUGCGUAGGCGGUCUUUUAAGUCAGUGCUGAAAUACUCCAGCUUAACUGGAGGGGUGGCAUUGAUACUGGAAGACUUGAGUGCAGUCGAAGUAGGCGGAAUUGACGGUGUAGCGGUGAAAUGCUUAGAUAUCGUCAAGAACACCGAUAGUGAAGACAGCUUACUAGGCUGCAACUGACGCUGAGGCACGAAAAGUGUGGGGAUCAAACAGG